CAUGCUGGUGCUACAGGCCCAUUACCAAGCUCACUGAAAAAGGACAAGCAGGUUACCUGGAAAAAUGCCAGUAGGACAGAGACAAGCUGUGGAAGCAGAUUAUCAAGUCGAUUGAAUACCAGAGGGAACUAAUGGAAUCAGAAGAGAAUGCGAGGAAAGUACAAGCCAAUCUGGGACAAUCACUUGACCUCUGCCUUGAGGUUGGAGAAAAACAAAACUUAAUACUGAGUCUAUCUCUCUGCAAGAAUCGUAUAACUAUCUGGGGAAGAACGUGAAAAGCAAAUUCAGUGGUAUCGAGAGAGAAGAAAUGUUUUCCUCGGUUUUAUGGAAGAGGCGGAGAAGUGGUCGUCAGAA